rnacentral:rRNA from 1 species
GACGAACGCUGGCGGCGUGCUUAACACAUGCAAGUCGAACGGAAAGGCCUGCGUUCGCUUUUGCGUUCCGGUUACUCGCGUGGCGAACGGGCGAGUAACACGUGAGUGAUCUGGGCGGAACUUGGGUAGAAGCCUGGGAAACUGGGUCUAAUUCCCAAUAGGACUGCAGGGUGGUGCCGGUGGUGGAAAACGAGUUUCUAGUGGGUGGGGAUGAGCUCGCGGCCUAUCAGCUGGUUGGUGGGGUAAUGGCCUACCAAGGCGGCGACGGGUAGCCGGCCUGAGAGUCUGGACGGCCACAUUGAGACUGAGAUGCGACCCAGAGUCCUACGCACGGCAGAGGCGCGGACUAGUGGACGAUGGGCGGAAGACUGAUGCAGCGACGCCGCGUGGAGGAUGCCGGGCUUCGGGUUGUAAACACCUUUCGACAGCGAGGACGCCACCUGGUUGGAAAGAUAGUGACGGUAGUGGUAGAAGAAGCAACGGCUAACUACGUG